CACAUAAGGGGUGAUUUCAAACCGUUGUUUUAUAGUCGCAACUGAUAUUUUCUAAAUUUAUCUCUUUAUGUAAACUAUAAGUACACAAGGUUUCAUUAAAAUCAGAAUUUGACACUUCGCGAGGUUCUCUUGUUCUGGUGUCUCGAUAGCUUGACUCAUCCCACGAUUUAUGUAUGACAGCUCUGUCAUAAGGUGCUCGCAAAAUUAACUUGUUUGAAAAGGGUAUCAAAUGAAGAUGCUUGCGCGGACAAACUUCUUUCGAAGCACGGAACGU